GACGAACGCUGGCGGCGUGCCUAAUACAUGCGAGUCGAGCGCAGGAAACUGACGGAACUCUUCGGAGGGAAGGCAGUGGAAUGAGCGGCGGACGGGUGAGUAACACGUAAGGAACCUGCCUCAAGGAUUGGGAUAACUCCGAGAAAUCGGAGCUAAUACCGGAUAGUUCAACGGACCGCAUGGUCCGCUGAUGAAAGGCGCUCCGGCGUCACCUUGAGAUGGCCUUGCGGUGCAUUAGCUAGUUGGUGGGGUAACGGCCCACCAAGGCGACGAUGCAUAGCCGACCUGAGAGGGUGAUCGGCCACACUGGGACUGAGACACGGCCCAGACUCCUACGGGAGGCAGCAGUAGGGAAUCUUCCACAAUGGACGAAAGUCUGAUGGAGCAACGCCGCGUGAGUGAUGAAGGUUUUCGGAUCGUAAAACUCUGUUGUAGGGAAGAACACGUACGAGAGGAAAUGCUCGUACCUUGACGGUACCUUACGAGAAAGCCACGGCUAACUACGUGCCAGCAGCCGCGGUAA
rnacentral:rRNA from 1 species